GAACUGAAGAGUUUGAUCAUGGCUCAGAUUGAACGUUGGCGGCAGGCCUAACACAUGCAAGUCGAACGAGAAAGCGCCUUCGGGCGCGAGUAAAGUGGCGGACGGGUGAGUAACGCGUAGGAAUCUACCCAGCGGUGGGGGACAACUCGGGGAAACUCGAGCUAAUACCGCAUGACAUCCCAAGUCUUCGGAGGCGGGAUCAAAGGGGGCCUCUCCUUGGAAGCUCCCGCCGUUGGAGGAGCCUGCGUUGGAUUAGCUUGUUGGUGGGGUAACGGCCCACCAAGGCCA
rnacentral:rRNA from 1 species